GAAAAUGAGGGUUGAAUGAAAUCAAGAUUAUGAAAAGCAAUAUAUUUGCUUUGAUAGGCGAUGUUCCAAAUUUUCCUUGCACAACACACAAAUUUUGAGACAUAAAUGGUGGUUCUUAUAAGCUUCAGUGUGACAGAAUAGAGGAGUUUCAAAGUAAUAUAAAUACUAGUAUACAAGUGAUUUUUUGUUCCUCCAAGUAACAUAACUUGUGUGAAGUCCAAGUACAUUUCAUAUUUGAGACACAAACGUUCAUCAUGAAUGCAUAAGUGUGACAGAAUAAACGUUUGUCAAAGUAAUAUACUAGUAAACAAGUAAUUUUCUGUUCCUACAAGUAACAUAACCAUGUGUGAUGAUCCAAGUACAUUACUUAUUGACACAUUAAAGUUGUCGACUGAUAGGAAAGUGUGAAUGAAUUAAAAUCUACAAACAUAUCAGUGAAAAAUGAGUGAAAAAACUUGCGUUACCUUCCAAGUGAAUCAUGAAUAAUUAUAUAAAUUAGGACACAUAGAGCUGGUAGGAAUGAUACAUGUCCUGUCCGCUAAUUUAUAUUGACAAUCGAACGUGGAGUGAAUUUGUGAACGGUUACCGCUAAAACGUCGUGAUGUUUCUACAAGUUGACAAGACAUCGAUACACAUGAGCAACUCGUAAACCCACACUAUUGCAGCAUUCUAGAGGGAAUAUCUAGUGGAGAGUGAUAACAUUUACGAUGUGUCUUGCUGUAUCGGUUCCAAGCACCAAAGUUACAACGAACUACAUCGGAAUAACAUUCAUCAACAAGUGAAUAGGAACUGGUAACAGUAACAGUUACAGGAACUGGUUACAGUAACUGUAACUCAACAAGUGCGCAAGUAACUGGAAGUCGGAGUACAGUGACAGAUCGAUCUCUCAACUGAUUUCACUCAAACCAGGAAUACCUACAACCAGCUAUGGAAAUCAAAAUUUAGAUACAAAUUGCAUAUCAUUUCCACAACAGAGAAGGACUGAGCAUGGGAUCAAUCAGCACUAGUAUAAUAUGACGGAGCAUGAGCGACUCAGUGGAGAGUGAGACAGAUGCUGCUGAUGCCUCAAUGAUAAUGUGAGGUGUUCAACACCACUCUACAACACCAAACUCAAGAGACCAAUUUCAUUCAUAUCGUCUACACCAUACCGACCGUAGAAACACCAGCAUAAACAU